UGAAACUGAGAAGUUGAUGAAAUGUGUCCCAGAUUAAAACACACUUUGCAAUGUUUUAUCAUGAACGUCUUCAAUCAUCCAGGAGAACCUAGAUUCCAUAGUCAACGUGCUCCUGUGCUCGCUCUGCCACCUAUCUCUCUCUCUAUGGCAACCCUCUACCCAGCCAUUGAUCCAUCUUGGGUUUUAUGCGUUUCACAGAUGACAGAAAAAGUUGCUGCAUCUUCUGUGACAACAGCAGCCUUUAUUGGCUCGGGGGCUCUGCUCCUCCUUUAUUACAUGGUGGAGGGCACGGCAUAGAAAAUCAACUGUCUUCCACAUAGAAGCUGGAAGAGCCCCUUUUCUAGCUUCCUUUGCCCUCAGGGCCAGGCUAUGCCAAGAGAUCACACCCUGCAUUUUGCAUCAGAAGCUGGCGUCAUGAAGUAGCAGGAUUUACAAGCCCCGUUCCCACAACAAUGGUGGCAGUGGUUCUGGCUGCCACAUCCAGUGUUCAAGGUUGCUGGACAUACACUGGGAGGUGUUUCAGUUCCUCUGACCUCGGUUCCCCUGGGCUGGGCCACGUGCCCCUCCUCUCUGCUCCUGUGGUGGCCGUGACACAGACUGCAGCACUGACAUGGGGUUAAGCACAGAGCGCUGGGAUGACUUUUUCACCUGUUCUCCCCACGAGCCUGUCAACACUGCGAGGGCAAGUCGUGACCACCCUGUUCCCCACCACUCUGCUAGAGAAACCUCGAGUCGCUCAUGGAAUCUUUGCUAAAAGAAAUACCAGAGGAAAGGAGGGAGAAGAGGGUGUGAGCAAUAAAAC
rnacentral:lncRNA from 1 species